AUUUAAAUAGCUUAUAUAGAGUAUAACACUGAAGAUGUUAAGGAAAUAUCAAUUAUUUUUAAAUA
rnacentral:tRNA from 1 species